CAGGGGUCAGGAUUCUGCUCCGUAGAGAAUGUGGAACUGCCCAAAUGGCCAAACGCAGCAAUUUCACAUGGUUCAACCUGACCACUUAGCGAGGUCACUGGGGUUUGGUUCUUGAGCUUCACAGACCCUGGGAUUCCGGAAGCCCCUCCCUCCAGGUGGAUCAGGUUGCCCAGUGCAGCUGCAAAGGUCCCCAAGCCCACUGUCUCCCGGACAUCGUUUCUCCUGCAGGCGUGGGCUCUCGUGGGUAGCUGCCCGCCUCUCCUGCAUAUCUGGCUCCCUGCCCGGCCCCCCAGCCCCCCAGGCCUAGCCAGGCCCUUUGCCGUUUCCUGGGGCCUUUCGGGGAAGCUCAGGCCAGAUAGAGCCUGCGACAAGCCUCCCUCCCCGCAUCUCCAGCAGGUUGUGGUCCCCGUGGGGCGUGCUCGAAAGCCGAGAUGAGAUGUGCUCUUCACAUCUGACAAAAGAGUUAAACUGACAAUUCCUCGCAGACUCAGGUUCAAAUCCUUAUUAAGCUGUUAAGUGAGGGGGGAUUUCAUAUCCUUCCAGAGGCUCUCCUUCUGCCACCAAGUGGCUGUGUGGGGGGGCUUUGUUCCUCGGCCUUUCCUUCGCUAUCUGGUCCUCCUGUGUCACCUGACAUGAGGGGGGAGCCACCAGAGGCCCCCCCUACAGCCUCUGGGGAAGCAGGAGCCCACGCAGCAGGAGCUGAGGGCCGGGAGAGGCAGACUGAGAACCAGGGGAGGGCAGCGUGGGGACCUGGAAAUGAGACCAGCACAGAGCAAUGAGUGGUCCUCAGGAAAUGUAAUGGGACACAUUCCCGAGCUGUAAAGAAGAUGUUUGUGACACAUGCUCAGCUGCGACAAGUUGCCACACACAUGGGGGCCUGUGGAUGAGGAGCCCCGGGAGGCACGGGUGUUAAAACGUGAGGCCGCCACACAGAAAGUUUGCUAUUUGCUCCUGCCAGGGGCUGAGGGCUCUCCCCACCUGAAUCCAACUCAGACCCCGUUUGAACCUCUUCUUCUGUGGGCCGUGCUCCCCACAGUGCAGAAGGGAGCCGGCGUUCAGAUCCGAUUCUAUGAAGGUCUGCAGAUAGACACCCCCCCGUUGUAAGUUCAUUGGGUGUGGGCUAAUCAGAAAGUAGGGAUCUCCCAUGCCCGCCCUACACAAACAUCCUCAGUGUUUUGCUCUUAGGUGGUUAAGAAUGGUUUAGUGUUGUUUGGAACAUUGGUCUGGGGGGUUUUGGAUGGUCUGCGAAUGUGCUCUCUCUUCUUUCCCCUUCCCCUAAUGGGAUAUGAGCUUCUGAUGCCUGCAGAUUUACUCUCCAAAGUGUUUCCAGGAAUUGAUGAUGUAUGGACAAUGUGGUGUACCUGCAUCUUACUGGCUCUCACCUGCUGGGUGUCAUUCUCAUGUGAGUGGGCCAGGUCAAGCCAGGAGAAAGCAGGUGCCGCUUGGCACCUGACAUGAUAAAUCCCUGCCUUCUUUUGUGAUUAACGGGAAAAAAAAAAAACCCACAAAUGCCCCCAAAGAACCCUGCUGGCUGUGGCUUUUGGAAACCCUCUCUUAGGGACCCCCCUGCGACCUGUCGGGCAGGAGCCCUGGGAGGCCAUGGGCGGGCACUUUGCAGCCAGGCUGCAGCAGGAGGCUGGUCAUGACCGAGGACACCACGGAGCCGGCAUGCAGAGCUCGGCCCCUCACAGCGCCUGUCGUGGGUGAGCAGCCCUUGUCAUGGAUCAGAGCCACAACCGACUGAUCUUCUCGAGGCUGGCCCUCUCAGCCAGAGGCCUGGUGUGUCUGCUGUGCCGCAGUGCUGCCUGGCCCGCCUGGGAGCCGGCUGCAGACUUUCCUGCAGCAAACUGGUGCUUGCCUGUCCAUCACGGCGAGCCAUGCCUGCCUGCGGUGCCUGGCAGCUGAAAGACCCCUGGAUUCUGGCAGAGUAUGUUCAUGGCCUGAAAGCUCAUCUUGUAGUCCCUCUACCCUGAGAUGCAGCUUCUGUGCUAGUGGGAUUCAUGCUCAGCUCCUUCCUCCUCGGGCCUCCCUGGGCCUGCAUCACCAUCGUCUGCCAGGGACAGCCACUCGGCAAGGACUCAGGGCAAAUCCUCUACUUCCUCUGUAUUGGCACCAGCCCCGGGGACGGAGUGGCUGUGUCUGCUGCAAGCGGCAUAUGCGUGAAGAGGUGGACAAAGACACAGCCACCAUUAGCAGGUACUGCUUGCCGAAUGCUCCGUAAGUACCUUGGAAACAGGCCACCCUGGGAAAUAAAUGAUCCACGGGGCCCCUGUAACCUCCAGCUCCCUUGGCGGCCGUUCCUGUUCCCUGAAGGCCCCCCUCCCUCCUGGGGGGCUCCCGGGAACCGGGUGGCAGAAACCAGCCUGGUGAUUUACCUCCCACCUUCCUGGGACUCCCCACCAGGCCCGUGCAUCUCAUGUUUCAUUAUGAGGCUGUGGAUGGUGGUGAUAUUAAUUAUGGGGCUGAGGCUGUGUCACCUGAAGAAAGUUGGUGCAUGUGUAAUUUGACUUUCCUCAAGAAGGAGAAUUAUAUUUUUCCUGAUCUCAUUCUCUCGCAAGAAUGCCAGGGAAGCAAGCAGAAUCACACUUAAGGGUUUUAAACUGAUGAGCUUCAGUUAAAAAAAUUAAAAUCCUUUCCAUCUGGCGAAGAUUGGGAGAAUCCACCUCUAGAAUUCGGGGUUUCUCGGUAGGGGCCAGCGGCUCUCCCGUGGGGAGGGCUGUGGGUGCACUGUGAGGCAGAGCUUGGCCUGUGGUGCAAAGCCAAGGGUGGGUCAUGGCUGGGUUUUCUACAGACAUAGAGCAAGAGCAUUUCUUGGCAAAACUUAUUCUUGGCUGAAAGCAAACGGGCACAUUCCAAAGGGUGAGAUGGGGAGAGUUUGACACUCGUUGGUUUUGUAAGUAAACACCAGAUUAAUGCAAGAACACCAAUAACAGUAAUGACCUAAAUGAGAGCUUGUGUGACAGUCCUGGCCCUCAUCCACAUGCCGUGGGUGCAUGCUUGCUGCCAUCCGGCCUUCCCGGAAGUCCUGCAGGGGGUCCCCCGCUUUAACCCCAUCACACAGAGGAGGCGGGCGACACAGAUGCGCCUGGGCCUGUGCUCAGUCUGCAGGACACAGACAGCACGGCAGACUUCCUCAUUCGAAGCGAUUCCAUUAAGAACGUUGUCGUGCCAUUAUGUCAGCAAUGAAAUCAGUGCUGCCGUCUUAGGCUCUUACUGUGUGCUAAGCAUUUGUGUGUGCGUGCGUGCGCUGGUGUGCAUGCGUGCACACAGGCAUGGGCCCAUGUGUGUGCACACGCAUGUGGAAGGAAAAUGACGUGGGUGAGCCUGGAGAAUUCCAGAUGCCGGAGGGGCCCGCAUGUGUGGCUGCUGCUGGAAGUGGGAGUCAGGGCCGUGUUGGUGACGUCACCUCAGGAGAAAUGGGUUCCAAAUCCACAUUUAUUCCCAGUUCUCUGUGUGAUCUUGGUCAUGCCGCUUUAUCUCCCUGAACUUUGUUCUUUAAACAUCUUUUAAGCUUUAAGGCUGUCGGACCGUUAUACACACGGAGAAAGGCGUGUGUGAAGGCCCUGUGUCAUGAAUACUCACAAGGUGAACAGAUGUGACCCCCACUCGGAUAAAGAGCGAGCCCAGCCUUCAGCCAGCUGGGCAGCCACUGGGCAUCCCUCCCCAGGCACGCGCCUCCCAGAGCCCAUCCCUCGCCAAGUCUUUUCUUACCCGCGGGGAGGAAAUGUGUGCCAUCAUCAUCAAGAAGGCAGUGGCAAGACGAAGGUGACCGUGUGUCCGGCCCGGUGCAAAGCCCUUGACGGGAACUGUUUUGUGGGCCUCCCGGGGGGGCACGAUUACGGCCAGUGCUGGCGCUCCCCUCGCUUUGCAGACGAGGACGGCAUGGCUCUGAAAUGGGAUCCAAACAGAUUAGCCCAGUUGUGAGCGUGACCCUGUCUGUCCCGCGCUGUUCUCGGACUUCAGUUUUUCUUCCUGCUUCCUUUAUUCAUUCCAAGUACCUCCCUGUCGUGUUUGUUGGAGGGUGGCUGUGCUGGUGUCCGGCCACAGACUAUAGAUCAGGCCCCCGGACACCGUGUCGGGCUGUGAUGAUUUCCAUUUUACCUCCCCAGGAAUCAAGGGGCCCCAGGAAGAAGCCAGCUCACAUGAUAAAUUAUUCAACAGAAGGACAGAAAGCUCUGCUGCACCGAACCUAAGGAUUUGGGGUAGACAAUGGGAAAUUAUUAAUAAAAAAAUUCUACCACUUUCUUCUUCCCACAGUGGGAGAGACUCAUGGAAUCAACUCUGAGUGAAGGCAUCAAGUUUAAGCUGUUAAUUACUUCUUAAUCAUGCAGAAUAAAAGCUACAUCCCUUAAAAUACACCAGACAGCUAAACCUAA